CCCAGCAUGAGGACGGGCACAAACAUUCCAAUGGGGGUGCUCUGGUGACCUGCCCAGGGAAGGGGCAGGGGCAGGGGUGGGGAGAGCGAACGCCCACCCUGUGGCUGGACAGAGCCAAGGGAGGCCCUGCUGUGAUGCUGGAGGAGUGCUCCCCUGGGCUUGCUCACACCUCCUUCACCAUGCUCCUUCCAGAGUCAGAGGGGUGGGACGGGAUAAGAUGAGAAAUGGACUGGGAAACUGACCCUGGACAGCUGCAGAGACGCCCUCCUGCAGCCCACAGAGCAGGCUUCUGUGUAUUCCUAAACACCCAUGCGUACUUUGCGGAGUGGACUAUGCCAGAUUCAGACACGAGAAAGAAAAGAGAAGCAUGGUAACAGGUGCAUGAGAUCAGCAAGGAGAGGCUCAGGCCUACUGGGCACAUACUGUAUGCCAGGCACCAUGCCCAGCGCCCAGGAGCCACCUGUCUAAUGCUCCCGCCAUUCGAGCAGUAAGGACUGUCACUGUAUCUACUUCUCAGGGGGAACACUGAGGCUCCAUCGGGUUAGACCUUUGCCCAGGCCCCAUGGGACACCCACAGCCUCUGUCCAGCCAACUGAGCAGCUAUUCAUGGGGCCGGGGCGGUUCUCCUAGGAGAGCAGCCUACACUACAGGCCCAUGAGCAAAGGUUGCCCAGAACAGGGCAUCUGAAAGGGGCCUGGGGGCCUGAGGGCACGAGUGUGUGAAGAAGCGGGAAGGGAGCUCCAUGAGAGGGAAUAGCAUUAUGGCGGGGCUCAGAGACAAGGGCUAGGCCAGGUGCGCCUGGAACUGGCUGCACGGGCGCGUACGGUGUGCUGAGUUCUGGCUGGGGAGCAGGAGGAGGAGGAGGAGGAGGAGGAGGAGGAGGAGGAGCAGAGGGCUGGGUCUGGCGAACUGAAGGCUGAGUUCAGGAGUUCAGUGUUCUGAUCCUGGGGGCGAUAGGGAGCCACUGAAGGUUAGGGCCAGGGAGUAACAGGACUGGAGUUGUAGCUCCCAGGAUCCCCUGAAUGCUGAGAGAAUGGACGGAGGGGCCAGAGGGACAUGGGAGGCCAGUGGAGAGAUUCCUUCCAUAGCCAAGAGAGAUGUGGUGGCUUGGCUGGAGGUGGUUUUGGAACUGGGGAGAAUGGGUGAGUGGAGGAUUCUACAAGUGGGUUUUGAUGGGACCCUCCCCAAGGAGGCUUCACCAGAAGCAGAGAAGAUCUUCCUGAAUCCCAAGGGAAGAUGUGGGGACCCUACCCUGCUGCUGGGGUGCCAGGAGGGGCCCUGUUGCGUUUCUCAUUGCUCUGAGGGCUCCUGCCUCCUCUUUGGGGAGACAGGCUCUUCCCGUUUCACCAAGGAGCAGCUGGAAGCCCUCAGAGCAAUGAGAAGGGCAAGGAGGACACGGGAGCUGUGCUGGGCCUUGCCAUCCCCUACCAAGGGAGGACAAGCAAGCUGGCGGGGAAGGAGUGGGCCAGCUGGGAGGCCCCUCUGGAUGUGCGGGCUGGGAUUGAGGUUCGGGGUUUGGGUGGAGGCAGAAAGGUGGUUCUGUCUGGACGUUGACAGUCAGCAGAGGAGGUGGGGGGGGAGCUUGUCACUUCCAGACCCAUCCUGCAGCCCCUCAUCUCAGGAAGAAAGUCUCUGGAUGGUCUAUGACACCUCCAGCCCUGGCCUUAGAUAUCCCCUGUCCGAAACUGGAAUCAGCCAGAAAAUCAAUGCUUAAUCUGGUGACUUCAAGAGGAACAUCGGCCACCACCUCGGAACCUGGACCCGGACCUGCGUUUUCGUAAAUACCCCGGCUUGGAGUGAAGUCCUUGUUCAAAGUCCCCCACUGGUUAGUGGGAUUCAAACCCCAGCUGAGGUCCAGAGAUCGUGCACUUGGUUCUGCGUGGGGGUGAGUGGCAGCCAAGGAAGUGGGUUCAGAGGCCAUGGGGCUUACCAGGCACCUUGAUCUUACUGGGCCCAACUGUGGCCCCCAGGGAAUCUGAGAUGCAUCCUGGCUGCCAUGGCCCCGGUCCAGGAAUCACAGUGGGCUGGGGUGAUGGGACCAGCCUGCCUGGGCACAGGGGCCAGAGAAAGGAAGGGAAAAGAUGGCAUCCAGGGGCCUCCAGCUAAGGGCACAAAGGUGAAGAGGACACCGGGCCUUGGGGAGCUCAUGGUGCUGUGGGAGGACAAGCGGAAUGAGGGAUCCCCAUGACAAAAGCAGACACCCAGGCUCGGAGGGUCGCUCGCAGGCCGGUGGCAGAGCAGGGACGCGAAGCAGGGGGAGCCUGCUGCAGCCGCCACCUCUCUGGGUGGGAGUGUGCUUCACUCGGGGCUUGCUCUCUGUGUGAGGCUGACUUUUUCUUGUCCAACAAACACUUACUUGCUGUGUGUCAGGACUGUCCAAGCGCGACGAGUGUCCACUCCCUAAAACUCCCACAAUAACCCUGAGGUCAGUGCUGAUGGGAAACCAGGCACAGGGUGGGUGGGCACUUGCCCGGAGCCAGGCAGCCUGGGAGAGGGCUCAGCUACCCAGACAGCUCCAGGGCAGAGCACAUGCCCCGGAACAAGGAGGACCAGGAGGCCUCGAUUUACCCUUCAGCCCGGGUCCCACAAAGGGCUAAGGUCAGGAACUGCCCCUUCUCUGUCCUUAAUCUCACGCUAGGACCUGGGCCAAGUAAGAGGUGAGUCCUCAAGGCUGCCAGCCACAGCCUGUGUCGGAGCCUCCUGGGGAGGGGCUGCUGAACCCCUGGUCACACCCGACUUCCCCGCACAGUGCCUGGGGCCGGGGCCUUGGAGCUGUGAUUUGCAUCCAGUCCCUUGGCGGAUGUCAGCUGCCACUCACACUGGGGUCUGAGUACAGGCCUGGCCCCCGAAAUGGUGCUGCUCAUUUGAGAAGACACAAGCGUCUCAAGCAGAACACAACGGGCCCAUAAGAUGUGGGAUAGAGUUUACAGGACACAGAGAGAAACUCCGCCUCAGAGAAAGGCCCGGGAGGGCUACAGGGUGGAGGAGGAGGGCAAAGGGCCAAGUGAAGAGGCAGGACGUCCAGGCGGAAGGCACUGCCCAAACAGAGGCCCGGAAGCUGGAGAGGGGUGUUCCUGGCUGCAGUAAUUAGACCCCGGGAGCGAAUGAGGAAGAAGAUGUAAGAGAAGGAAGGUGGGUGGGUCGGGCCGGACCCCGAAAGGCCCCGAGGGACAGGUUAAUCGGCCAGGUUUCCAGACGCACUGGGCAUCAGGGUCACCUGCGGGAGUUCAUUCCCUCACUCAUUCAAGAGGUGCAUACUGAGUGCUACUGUGGGCCAGACAUAUAGUUCUCAGCCCUGGGGGGCCCGGGGGGAGCUGAUGGAUGAGACCUCUACCCUGGUGGAGACAGAAGCGUCAUCAGAGGACAGAGACUGUAAUUAAAGAAACAGCAUAUAAAAUAACGGCAGAUCCCUCCGGGUGCUCAGAGGCAAAUAGACCAGGACACAGUAGAGAGCGUCUGAGCUGGGAGAGGGGCCAUUUGAAACGAGUCCCCGAGAUGAGCCAGAGGAGAAAUCUGGAAGUGGGUGGGAAGCCCCCAGAACAGAUGGACGCUGGCAGCCCCUGUAGGGACUAGACACAAAGCCGCUGAAGGAUGCAUCGAGGCCAUCACCUCUGGGCAGAUGGUCAUGCGCAAGGCAUCACCUGUGCUCUGCAGAUGAAUGGCUUGACUUGGGAUUUGAGGGUCUGCAGAGAUGGGAUGGAUGUAGGGGGUCUCAGAAUCAGAAACUCUGACCCUGGGUGAGACCUCGGGGACCAGCCCCUGGCCCAGGGGUCCUCAACCAAAUUGAGGCAGAGGGCUGCAUCCAUGCCCCCGCGCCCUCCUGCCCUGGAAUUCAACCGCGGGCUUUGUUUGCAAAAGCAGAUCAGGGGCGCCACCUGGUGGCUAGAGCUGAGACCGUGGCCGCUUCAGCCCAGGCCGGGGUCCAGGGUGGCCAGGGCUCAGGAGGCCGGUCCCCUUAGGUCACUUCUGAUUUUGUAGAUGUUUGUGGUUACACAAUUAAUAUGUGUACCUUGCAGAUACAGUAGAAAACCCAGAUAAAGCUGAAAGAAAGCAACCACCUGGAAUUUCGCACCCAGAACAAACCCUUCUUCACGUGUGCACGGAUUUCUUUCUAGGCUUUUCUUUAUCCAUCCAGGCAUUUUCAUACAAAAAGUGAAUCAUACCCCACGGAGAGUCUGUAACCUGCCAAGCUGUUUCCCACUCACCGCUAGAUCGUGGCUCUCCUUCGUGCCAAUAAAUCUGCUUUUACAACAUCAUUCCUGUAGCUGUGCACGCCCUUUGGGUGUGGCCAGAAAAGUGAUUGAGGCUGACUGAGCCCCUGUAGGUUGGAUUUCUUUGGAGCAAGGUGAGUUUUCUGGAGUUUUUUCACUUUGUUUUUGACUCCCUUGGGGAAGAUAGGAACUUUAAAGCCCUCAUUUCUCUGGUGCAGAAUGGGUUUUGACAAAUCCACAUUUAGGGGUAAACUUCAUGGUGUCAGGGUCCAACCCCUGCCGCCUCCCUGUGUCUGAAGCUGGGAGCAUUGGGGCACUUGCCACUCACGCUGUGAACUGCCCUGGGCCCCUCUGGUAGCCUGAGGGUUUACACCGCCUGAAGUGGACGCACAGGCAGAUCAUACGCCUCACAGGGCUGGUCUGUGUUCAACAGGUGGUCUUCGUAAAGCACUCCACGCGCGCUCAGCCUGUGGUCAGCCCUUGGUAACUGUCAGCUUUGUUACCAUUCAACGGACCACAGGGUGUGGGACAAGAGCACUGCGGCCCGCCAGGCCUGUGUUCUCGUCACUGGCUGUGGGAUGGGGGCCUGUUCUCGUCACCUGCUGAAGGGCUGGAAUGCCUCCUUGGGGGUCAUGGUGGGGCCUGACUUAGUGGGUACUGAGUUAGAUCACCCUUUGCUAUUCAUGAGGCUGUGGCUGUGCCAGGAACCGCAGGCGCUGUGACCACAUGUGGAAACGGAGGCACAGGAGGACUAGGUACUUGCCCAAGAUCACACAACUAGAAACUGGUUGGGCAAAACCUUGGGUCUGGGGUGGACCAAGUUUGUGUCUUUGGCCCUACGCUGUUGUGUAGACCUGGGAGGCAUCCACCCGCAUGGUGAGCCAGAGGGGCCUGUGGGCCGACUGUGAGCUCAAAUGGGCUCUCUCUUCAGGUCCUGCAAAUGAGGCGCCGCCCCACCUCCCUACGUCCCAGACAGGAGGGUUGAUGAUGUGGGUUUUCUUCCACACUUGGAGGUUGUCUGUACUCAUUUUGUGCUCUGGGUUUAAUCCUAGAGGGCCAUUCACUGGCUGUGUGACCUUGGGCAAGUAGCUUAACCUCUCUGUGCCUCCGCUUUUCUCCAUGUGAAACGGGGUAAAGAUUCCUUUCUUCGUGGAGUUGGUGGGGGGAUGAAGUGAGUGAGUGUCUGUGGGAGUCCAGAGAGCAUCAGCUCCUGCAGGGGUCCGGACUUCGAUGCCACAGGAGGGCUCGCAGGCAGGGUCCUUGGGAGUCAUGCAGGAGCUGGACUGGGGACUUGAGCGGGUACCCAGGUUGCAGGGGUGCUCCCCACGAUAGAAGAAAAUCAGCCUCUGAAGGGUGCUGGGUUUGUGCUCCUUCCCCCAAAUUUGGGGCACUGGCAUCAGCUGGAACGGAGGCCCCCCUCGGGGGAGGGCAGAGCAGGAACUUCACCUGGGGUCUGUGGACGGGCUGCAGACCUUGUGCACCACCCCGGAACCGUCGGGGAAACGCGUGUGUCUGGCUGCUUUGUGGGGAAGGAACAGGAGGGGUCACACCGGAUCCCCUACCCCGCCUGACUCCACCUCAGGCCUUGGAAGUUUCCGAGCCCAGCCUGGUGAGCGGCGGCCGGCGGCGUGCGGCCAGCAGGGGGCGCUCGGGCCAAGGCUGUGAAAGUGCCGAGCGCCUGCGAGGCCGGCUCCGCGCUCCUCCCCUCCAGGCCGCCCCUGCGCCGAGACCUGCGGAGGGCGCGGGCCGGGGCUGGCUCGGCCUUAAGUCUCCGGGAGCCCGAAUGGGGCCGCUGGGGCCACAGCUGGGGCAGCAGCCCACCAGUGCCCAGCUGGAAGCCGCCCCAGACAUCUCAGCCCGGGGCGGGUGUCACAGAGUGAGUUUUGACAAUUUCCCGGCCUAACCCCACCUGUACAGACGGCUGUCAAUCAAUCCCUGGGAGGGCCUAGGCUUCAGCCCCCAGGUCUGGGAACCACUGGGCAAGGACUCCCUUCAUCCUCAGCAUGAGCUCCGACCAGGCAGGGUCUGUCCCUAUUUCUGCCCAUUUUACAGAGUAGGAAACUGAGGCUCGGAGGUGGCGGGACUUGGCUGAGAUUACAGUCAGAUUACACACACAAAGGGCUGCGAUGCCAAGCCCCAUUAUUUUUUUUUUCCCAUUUAUUCUUUUAUAUUCGUGAUAUUAACAGCAGCAGCAGCAGCAGCGGCGCCUGUGACGGUAACUUCUCAGUCUGGGCCCUGCUGGCACUCUGAGCUGGAUGUCUGUGUGAGGGGCAUGGGGUGCGCUGCUCAUUGAAGGGCAUGGGGUACCCUGCACAUUGAAGCACGCUCAGCAGUGCGGGCUGCGUGAGGCUUCCGAGGACGAUGCCCGUGUUCUAAUCCCAGAACCUGGAACAUGUUACCUUACAUGGAGAAACAGACUUUGCAGGGGUGAUUAAGUUAAAGAUCGUGAGGUGGGGGUUCAUCCUGCAUUAUCAGGGUGGCCUUGAUGUCAUCACAGGGGUCCAUCUAAGAGGAAGGAGGAGGUGAGAGGGAAAGGCGGAGGUUCAGAGCCGGUAAGCCGGUGCUGGGGGCGGAGAGGAGUCACAAAAAUAGGGCGGGUCCAAGAUUUACCACCAGGAUCUCCCAGCCACGCAGUUCACCCCCCACGCCCCCGACCUGCAGGCACAGCUGGGAGGGCCAGGCCUGUCCCGAGCUCUGUAGCCAGGGGCGCCACACCCCCUCCCUCCCUGCCACCACCCCCGGACCCCCAACUGACACUCCCGCCUUCAGGGCUUUGCUGGCAUUGGCCCUGCUGGGCUGCUUCUCCAGCAGCUGGUGGCACUCAGCUGAUUGUGGCAAAGGUCACUGUGCCCCGGGGUGGGCAUGGGGGGGCAGGUGAACGAGACAUAGUGGGGGAGCUGACCAGCCAGGGGCUGGGUGGUGACAGCCAGGCCGCAGUGAUAUGUCCUAGGCAGCUUUUUCAGUAACAUGUUUAAGAGCACUGGCUUGCAAGCCUGCCUGAUGGCUAGGUUUGAAUCCUAUCUCUGUCCCGGGGCAGUAGUUCAACCUCCCUGAGUGGGCUGCCUGUGAAUCAUGCAGGGGUGGCUGCAUCGUGCUGCGUAUCCACAGCUGUCCAAGGAACCCGUUUCACAGGAGCUCUUGCAGAAGGAGGGAUUUCGUGGAAUGCAAAAUCCUGGUCCUGCUGGCCCCUCCCCAGCUGAGGCGGUGUGGCUGCCUGUGGGGAGGAACUCUUAGUGGCUGUAAAGUCUCGGUGUGGAGCCUGAAAAAGCUGAGUCUGUGGGAAGCCAUGCAGAGAGACGGCGGGACGGUGGGUCCUGAAUCACAUUGUUUGAGCUUCUGGAUGAGGCCUUACCUGAACUCUGAUAGUUUGCAAGAGUCAAUAAACACACUAAAAAAAAAAAAACACUCUUCUUGGUUUUGAGUCAAAAGUACCAAUAGAUCUGCAAUAUCCCACCUACAAUAUUUAACAGAUGCCUAAACAUACAGUCAUCCCCUGGUAUCCCCAGGGGAUUGGCUCCAGGACUCCCUGUGGAUACAAAAUCCAUGGAUGCUCAAGUCCCUGAUAUGAGAUGAUAUAGUAUUUGCAUGUAACCUAUGCACAUCCUCCUGUAUACUUUAAAUCAUCUCUAGAUUACUUAUAAUACCUAAAACAAUGUACAUGCUAUGUAAGUGGUUGUUAUACUGUAUCAUUUAGGGAAUAAUGACCAAAAAAGUCUACAUGUGUUUCGUACAGAUGCAGUCAUCUUGUUUUUCAGAUAUUUUCAAUCCUCAGAACCCACACAUACGUAACUGACUGUAUUUUUAAAAAUCUUAUCGGUUUCAUUUUUCCCACUUGAAACUUUAUUCCCACAUUCACUCAGCCUUCCAUUCCAGGCCACACCCAGUGGCUUCGUAGGUUUUCUGUGCAGUGUGAGGCUUCAGAUUCUCACAACUCCUCAGGCAGGGUUGUUGGGUUUUUUGUUUUGUUUUGUUUGUUUGAUUUUCUGUGUGGUCUUUCCUGGCAUGUCUCCUU